UAUACUGCAUUUCCCAGCCCCCUUUGCGGUUAGGGGAGGUCUUGCCACUGGGUGCCAGCCAAUGGGAUGUAGUGGAAGUGGCAACCAGAAGCAGCCCCUGGAAAAACCCCCCACCUACCCGGCAUCCUCCAUUCUUUCUCCAGUGAAAAGUGUACUAAGCCAUGGAGAUGUGGGGAUCAUUUGUUACAGAAGAUAGUCGACCCUGAUUAAUAUAGUGUUUGUCCCGAUAACAGGACAGUCUGACUUAUCAGCAUAGAAAAAUAUUUCUGUCAGCAUUCGGAGAACAUGGGGGUGUCCUAUGGCCAAUCACAUUUGGAAAAACUACCCAUUUAUGCCCGUUAUUGGAGAUUCAUAAGACUUUGUAGUUUUUCCAAGCCCAGACUUUCAUGUUUAAGUAAAUAGGCAUUUCAUGAGAAUCAUGAAACAGAACCCUGUACCUUGGGAGUUCUUAAUGUGAAAACAAAACAGCAUCAACAACACAAGUUGUUCGAAAAUAGAGUGACAAAACUGGAUACAACAGGGCUAACAUACAUGAUGCCUAAAAAUGGAUGUGGAGACAUUCAGAGCAACUGAAGACGCAUGGCUGAAAAGAUGUGCACGGAAUACCGACUCGAGGAAUCUCAUCAUUCGGUGGCUUGUUACCAGAUGCACAUUUGUUUACACUGAAAUGAAAGCAGAGAAACAGUUAAGUGCGUAAAGAAGGAAGACAAUAUCUUGUAGGAGCCCAGCCUUAUAUACAAGUCCAAUUAGAGGACCCCAUCAUUAACAUGAUCAAAAGCAGCUGAUAUUUCUAACACAAGUUAAGAUCUGAAAAUCUGGGUGGAAUUGCUUAUGCUUCUAUUCAGACUCCCAAAGAAAGACCCUAUUAAGCCCAACUAAAUUGCACCAAGUGGCUUAAAGAGGUGCCUGUCCGUUUUAAUUUUCCUGACACUCCUCUCUGAGGCUUGGUCUAAUAGUGAUUGUAUAGCACUAUUAGGGAUGCCUCUGCUGGGAAAACACAGUUGUCAGCGACCUGCUUUAUUAUUUUGAUGGUAUGCAAUAAUUUCUCUCAGGGCUGUUGCUCCAGAAAAGGACAUAUUGGCCUGCUCUCUCAGCUCCUAAUUAAGCAACAGUGAAAUUUUAUACUAAUACCGGACUUAAAGGGAAGAUUGGAAAAGCAUUUAUCUUCCAAACUGACCUAAUUAUCAUUAGUGUACUAUUCUAAACAUAAAGAAAUCAAUCCAUUUUAGAAAUGGAUUUAAUAAUGCAAUGCACUUUGUAUUAUGUUUCUGAAAUCUCAUUCUUGUUGGGUAUUUAAUACUUGCUUUCCCUUUUAAAAUAUACACUGGAGUGACUUUACGUGGGACUGUGACAUUUUCAGGCACUUUUUUUUUUUGCAUGAAUUGCAAAAGUAGGUGCUAUACAAAUGUCAUAUUUCAUCAGUAGCAUGUUUUGCUUUUGAGGUGAGGAACCACUUGGAGAAACACUGAGUGGGUAUAAAUUAAUCUCAAGGAAAUCGGGAGUUCUUUUACAAACGGGACCAUUUCAAAAUUAGCAAGACAACCAAUGUGAGAGAAGUAGCUGGGGAGUGAGAUACAAUGAAACAAACGCACAAACAAAAUGGUUUGAUCACCGAUCUGCCCUUUGAGGUAUUUGUGUCAAAUGUAGGCACAGGUCAGUGUUCUCUCUCAACACCAGCUAUUUUUAUUCCCAUCUUUGCCGAAAUUUGGUGUUUUCCUGGCCCUGACCACUAACCUGUUGCAAAUGCCCAGGGUAAUCUGAUUCCGCCUGUGUUCCUCCCUAUCUCUCCUGACCACCCCGUCAUUCCCAGUACUGCUGAUUUUGAUUCUUAUCCUAGUUGAUCAACUACCAUUUCAGUUCCCACUGACCUCCUGUCGUUACCCUCAAAUCGUUUCUUCGGUGCCUAAGCAAUGUGUUUCUAACUUUCCAAGCUACUGUGAAACAAGAACCUUCAGACGCUGACAGGGGCUCUCCAUACAAGAGUUAAUCAGCACCUUUGCUGUAGAGUGGACCUCACAGCUGCCAAGUGGCAGAGGCAGGAUUUGAACCCAGGGCCAGCAAACUGCAAGGAGUCCUCUUUCUUCCUUUUGAGGCCACAGUCUCUAGGGAAAGACCUCAAAUCGGUUUGGUGGAGUUAUCAGCCCAGUCCCUAAGAAAGCGAUGUGGUCUGCAUAGGGACCAUCUACGGGAAAUAAAGGAUGAGUCGCUAAGGAUAGAAUGAAUUAACACAUUUAGAGGUGAGGCCUGAGAUACGUGAGAAGUUGGUGAUGAUGUCACAAGAGUCUUGUUUUUUCUUUUAAUUUUUCAUGUUUAUUUGUUUUCGAGAGAGUGCGCAUGGGGC